rnacentral:rRNA from 1 species
UGCACCCCGAAAUAGGCGGCAGCUGUUGAUACAAUUAGCAGCGCACACGCCGCACACACACCAAAAACACCCCCCAGAUCAAACAAGAGUACCCGCUGAACUUAAGCAUAUCAAUAAGCGGAGGAAAAGAAACCAACAGGGAUUGCCUCAGUAACGGCGAGUGAAGCGGCAAGAGCUCAAAUUUGAAAUCGGGGCUUUAUGGCGUCGAGUUGUAGUUUGAAGGGAGGUCUUUGUGGACCGGGUUACCAGCGAUGUUCCUUGGAAGAGGACGCGAGACAAGGUGAAAGCCCUGUAGCUGGUAAAUCCAUACACGUAUAAGGGCCUUCCGAAGAGUCGAGUUGUUUGGGAAUGCAGCUCUAAGUGGGUGGUAAACUCCAUCUAAAGCUAAAUACUAGCGAGAGACCGAUAGCGAACAAGUACAGUGAUGGAAAGAUGAAAAGAACUUUGAAAAGAGAGUGAAAGAGUGCGUGAAAUUGUUGAAAGGGAAGGAUAUUAGGUGAGGCGGGGGCGUGUUGCUGUGCGGAGUUUCUUGUGGACUCUGGUUAAGCGCAUGUCCAGGCCGGUGUGGGUGGUGAGAGGGAGAUGAAGAUGUAUCCUUGAGCGUAGCUCACGAGUGCAGAAAGGCUCCGUUCGCCACCAUGACAGACGACACUU